GAUUAGGAAAGCCACUGGGGAGUCUUCUUAUUGUUAAUGCUAAAAUCUAGCUUCACUACACACGUAGAAUGGUAAAAUGAACGUUUACUAAACAAAACUGCUGCGUGUAUUUGUGAGGCAUCAACUUAAACGAAAUGAGAAAAAAUAAGAAUAAAAGAAGAAGGUUAUUGAAGUUUUAAAAUUAUGUUCCUAUAUGUAAAUUAGCAAAACUUAAAACUUAUGAUUUUUCUGACUUUCUGCCUGCGUUUUCACCUGCUGAAGAACUACAGAAGGCUUAAUGUGAUGGGAUCUUACUGUUGCACAGGCUGACCAAUCCUCCUGCCUCAGCUCCUGAGUAGCUAGGAUUACAGACAUGUGCCACAGUGCUUUGAUAAAGUGAAUUUUGAACAGAGACUGAAUAAAGUACAAAAGCC